rnacentral:rRNA from 1 species
GACGUAGGGCGCGAGCGUUGUCCGGAUUUAUUGGGCGUAAAGAGCUCGUAGGCGGCUUGUCGCGUCGACUGUGAAAACCCGCGGCUCAACUGCGGGCCUGCAGCCGAUACGGGCAGGCUAGAGUUCGGUAGGGGAGACUGGAAUUCCUGGUGUAGCGGUGGAAUGCGCAGAUAUCAGGAGGAACACCAACGGCGAAGGCAGCUCGCUGGGACGGUACUGACGCUGAGGCGCGAAAGCGUGGGGAGCGAACAGG